CCUACGGGUGGCUGCAGUGGGGAAUAUUGGACAAUGGGGGCAACCCUGAUCCAGCCACGCCGCGUGUGUGAAGAAGGCCCUCGGGUUGUAAAGCACUUUCAGUGAGGAAGAACGCCUGGUGGUUAAUACCCAUCAGGAAAGACAUCACUCACAGAAGAAGCACCGGCUAACUCCGUGCCAGCAGCCGCGGUAAUACGGAGGGUGCGAGCGUUAAUCGGAAUUACUGGGCGUAAAGCGCGCGUAGGUGGCUUGAUAAGCCGGUUGUGAAAGCCCCGGGCUCAACCUGGGAACGGCAUCCGGAACUGUCAAGCUAGAGUGCAGGAGAGGAAGGUAGAAUUCCCGGUGUAGCGGUGAAAUGCGUAGAGAUCGGGAGGAAUACCAGUGGCGAAGGCGGCCUUCUGGACUGACACUGACACUGAGGUGCGAAAGCGUGGGUAGCAAACAGGAUUAGAUACCCGAGUAGUC
rnacentral:rRNA from 1 species